GCUGCGGCUGCGAGUAACUCGCUCCAGAUUCGCGCAUUCCCGUCAGAACACGAAACCAGAGGAAAAACCCGUGAGGCCCAGAUUGAUCAGCACAGAACUUAGCAACAGCACAACAGGCUGUGGCCAGCCGCCCUGGCCCGCUAGAGGGGCUUUCCGCCAGGCCCGGGGUUGGGGGACUGGGAGCUGGCUCCACCACCCCGACAGGCUUGCAGGGCCCAAAGGCCCCCCACCACGGGCGUCAGGGUGGAGGCACUGGGGCUCCUGCUGGAACCACGGGGCUCCCAGAGAUGGUCUGAAAUCCCGGUCUUCCCCACGCGCUCCCUUCUAUGGGGUCUGAGAGGAGAAUGCUGACGGGCGUCCCCACGCGCAGCCGUGGUUCACUCUGCUGGUUGGGCAGCCAGGAGCUGACAAGGGCAUGGGGGACUUCUGAGUUUCAGAAACAUCCAGAUGGUCCGGCAUUUCUUGCAGCUGCCACCUGGCCUGGUUGAACCUGCUCGUGGCCUGGCGUGGCCUGCUCGUGCAGUGGCGGGGAGUUAGGGCCGACCCUUUCAGCUGGGGGCCUGGAAGAGCCGGUGAAGGGCCAGAGCCUGGGAUCGCAGCAGCCCCACAUCUGCGCGCCUGACUCACGGACUCUGACAUAGUGACGGUUUGUGCAGCUUGCUAAGGAGAGAGCACCCAGGCCUGUCCUCCAAGGGCCCCGUCUGAGGCCCUAUCUCAGAGGUGCGGUAGUAACAGGAUCCCUCUGGAGCCCCAGCCCCCAGAGGGGAGUCCCUGCCCCACCUACCAGUCUGUGGCCCGUGCACAGUUUCUCCUCCCUGAGUGUCACCGCUUCCUCGCCUGUGAGCUGGGAGGACUAAGUGACCAGUGUGGCUCGUUCCUGGCACCACAUACACGGCAGCCCUCAUUCUGAGCCCGACUGCUUGGUUUCGAAUGGUAACCCUGCUUACUUUUCAGCUGUGACCUUUGGCAAGUUACUUAAGAGCUGUGUGCCUCAGUCUCCCCGUCUGCCUACUAGAGCUAUAACGGCACCCCAUCGUAGCAUCGUUGUGGGGAUGAAUGAGUUAAUGUUGGUAAAGUGCCCCCCGGAGUGCCUGGCACGGGGUAAGCUCUAUUAUAUUCAUUUUAUGGCAACUUUCUGUUGAUAGGAAGCGAGUCUAGUUUUCCAUUUGGGGUAGUGAUGUAACAUUUCCUUUUAAGAUACAUUUAGUUCAACGAGCCAAUUAAAAACAAAGGUUAAGUUAAAAAAUACGUGGCCUGCAGAUUUAGCAAAAAUCUCCAAAGCACUGUGGCGUCAGGUGGACCCGUCCCUGCAGGUUUCCUUUCCGGCCAACUUCUCAAUAAAAUAAUAUCCGUGAAGGGACACUGCGCAAACUGUAAAGUGCUCUCCUUCCUCCCGCCCUCCCUUCAUCCUCCCUGCCAUCCUCCUCCUCCCUCCUCCCAUCCUCCCUCCUUUCUCCUCCCUCCCUCCUCUCUUCCUCCCUCCUUCCUUCCACAAAUAAUAACAAAGACUCCAGCCAGGUGCUGUGUCGGGCCGUGCGGUUCCAGAGGUUGUUCCCACAUCUUGGCUGUCGUGAAUAGUGCUACAGCGAACAUCAAACUAAAAAGCUUCCACCCAGCAAAGGAGACAAUCAACAGAGUGAAAAGGCAACUACAGAGUGGGAGAAGAUAUUUACCAACCAUGUGUCUGAUAAGGGGUAUAUAGCCAAAGUAAUAAGGAACUCCUACAACUCCACAGCAAAAAAUUGAAUAACUCAAUUGAAAAAUGGACUAAGGACUUGAAUUUUUCCAAAGGAGACACACAAAUGGCCAACAGGUACAUGAAAAGAUGCUCAACGUCACUGAUCAUCAGGGAAAUGCAAAUCAAAACCUUAUACCUGUGAGGAUGGUUGUUACCAAAAAAACAAAGACAAGUGUUGGUGAGGAUGUAGAGAAAUUGAAACCCUCGCACACUGUUGAUGGGGAUGCAAAAAGAUGCGGUCGCUAUGGAAGAUAGUAUGGAGGCUCCUCAAGAAGUUAAAAGUUGACUACCAUAUGAUCCAGCCACCCCACUUCUGGGUACUUAUCCGCAAGAGCUGAAACCAAGCUUUCUUUUGCAGUGGGCAGUACUCUCCUUCCCCAGGUGCCCACUGUCCAGAGGUCCCUGCCUUUCUCUUGCACUCCCUGCCUCGGGCCUGGGGCCUUUGCUGGGGUGCUCAGGAGCUUCUGAGGGUGGGAUUAACAGGCACUGAAGCUCGGUCACCUCCACAACUUCUAAAUUGGGUUUCUCACCAACGAUGUGAAGAUUUCAUGGAACAAGGGGCCUCUGCCGCCACCUGCUGGGCACCUGGGGAAAGGGCUCUUACGCCCCAAGGAGCCCUUCCUGCUGUCUGGGCAUUUAUAAAUGCAUGCCAGCAAUAGCAAUAACAAUAGCUGUGAUUUAUUAAAUGAUUGUCAGACAUUGUACCAAGUGCUUUCAAGACACGAUGUCUUAAUCUCCAACAGCCUUGAAAUGUGGCUGCCUUCUCCUCAUGUAUUUAUAUAGAGAGAUGAGGAAGCAUGCUCAGCAAGAGAAAGAAUGGUCAACAUCACACGGCCAGCGACUGGCCAGUGGAUUCGAACCCAGGUCUGUCUGGCCCCAAAGUGGGGCUGAGCAGCGUCCUGGAGAAAGGCAGAGAGGGAGCGAGAGGGUGGGCAGGAGAGGCUGGAGGGCUGUAGAAGGUUCUGGAAACUACUCCUGGUGACCUUCCCGGGAAGGUCCACUCACAGCUACUCCCUCUCUGGAUGCCCAGGGCCUUGCUCUGAGUCCUCCUCAGCACAUCCUUCUGCCCACCUUGGGCGUGCACUCCCUCACCCAGCAUCACAGCUGGGGAAACUGAGGCUCCAGAGGUGGAGAAUCUAGACCAUGGAUUCCAGAGAGUGUGGGGCAGAGGGGAGACUGAUCCCAGGCCCUGAGCCCAGUGCUGGGGGGAUCCAAGUGAACAACGAGAAACAGGGAAGGCGACCUGAGCCCAAGUUUCUGUCCACGUCAACUCCUCACGAUCCGGGGCCCACAGGGCAGGUGGGCAUAGGGGCUGGGAGACCCUCUGUGGGAUAGAUUCCCGGUGCGCACUCUGAAUGAUGGCCUUGCCACCGUCAAGGGCCCCGCCUGUCCGUCAGGAGGCCUCUCCAAGGGAGGGCCUGCCACGAUGUCGGAGCAGCACUCUUUUCUGGCUCUGCCACUUCCCAGCUCUGAGAUCUUGGGCAACUUCCUUCAGCUUUCCGAGCCUCAGUUUACCCUUCUGUAAAAUGGGACUAAUCGCAGUCUCUACCUCUUCGAGCUGGAUUGGGAACCAAGUGACAACCCAUACCUAAAGCCCUGAGUGCUCAGGAAGCACUUGAUAAAUGGCAUCACUAGGGACCCCCACAGACACACACUAGCCAGGCCUCAAUGCCUCUGCCAGGCUGAGAAGCAGGCGUUGUGGGAUGCCUCUGCAGGGGAAACUGAGUCACUAGGUCAGGAAGUGCCUGGGCCUAGGCUUCAGCUUGAGUCACAGGCCUAAUGCUGGGAAACCUCCCUGCAGCCACCUCCAGAAAUGCUUCGUGCCUCUGUCUGGCAGCCUCAGAGCCUCCACCCCGUGUCACCAGCCAGGGGACCUUCCCCCAAGGAGCCCCCCGCAGCCAGGCAGGCUCAGCCCUGCAAGAUGUAUCCGAUGGACGAAGGACGCUGAGAUGCACAUAUAUCCCUGCUCGACAGGCGAGGGAACUGAGGCUAGGAGGGGCAGGUGAUGCGCCCGCCGGCACAGCGGUGUGGGGGUAGGACCCUGACUCGACCCCAGGGCGUUCAUCAGAGGAAGCUCGGUGGCUGGGCUCCCUCAGGGCUGAUUUACAACCCCAGCUCAGGCCUGGGAUCAAAGUUGGUUUGCAGGAAGCCCUUCCCAUCCCGACUUCCCCGGGACCGGGACACGCUUUGACGUCAGCACGUCCACAUUCCUGCCCUCGGGCCCCAGGGUGGGGGCACCGACUUCCUCCCUCCAGCGUUGGCGUCGCAAACAGGAAGCUGGGUCACGAGGGCGGUCCCGCCAGGGCGCCCGGAGGAGGGGGUGGGAGGCCAGGCCAGGCGGCGGUCCCAGCGCUGGACCACCUGGCGCAGGGCACGGGGACGGCCGGGUCGUGUUAUAAGGCGCCCCUGUGCUCCGGGGCCCGUACAGAGGGCCUUCAAGGCUUCAUCCCUUUGGUCUUCACAAACGACACGCUCACGGAUCACGAUUUCUCUCUCGGACUGACAGCAAUGCCUACCGUGGGCCGAGCGCUCCCUCCAGGCGUGCGCUUCACACGGGUCCUCUCAUUUAAUCCUUAUAAACACCCCUCUUAUCGUCUGUUAACAGAUGAGGAAACUGAGGCACUGCAGGCUAAGUCAGUCUCCAAUGUCCCGCGGCUGUGGGGAGUGGGUGGGGACUCGGACCCAGCGUCUGCCGGGAGCCCCGUCCCCGCCCUCUCGGCCCUUGCUCCGCGUGCUGGAAACUGCAAAUCCGACCACGUCUCUCCCUCCUCACCCUUCCAUGGCUCCCCUCUACCCGGGGACGGCGGUCAGCCUUUCUCACAGGGAUCUGAAGGGACCCGCGCUGCCCUGCGGACGGAAGGACAUUACCCCCGAUGGCAUCGCUGAUGCUACAAAACCAACAGCCUUGUCUGGGUCAAUCAAGGUUGACCUCGAGAUUAGGACUCUUUGGGUCUGUUA
rnacentral:lncRNA from 1 species